GACAGAGGUGCCAAGCGUUAGGCGGAAUCACUGGGCUUAAAGCGUGUGUAGGCGGAUUUGUAAGUACCUUGUGAAAUCCCACAGCUCAACUGUGGAACUGCUCGGUAUACUGCGAAUCUUGAGCCACUUAGGGGCUACCGGAACAAAUGGUGGAGCGGUGAAAUGCGUAGAUAUCAUUUGGAACGCCAAUGGUGAAAACAGGUAGCUGGGAGUGUGCUGACGCUGAGACACGAAAGCCAGGGGAGCGAACGGG
rnacentral:rRNA from 1 species